rnacentral:rRNA from 1 species
AGUGAACGCUGGCGGCGUGCUUAACACAUGCAAGUCGAACGAGAACGGAAUAUAGCUUGCUAUAUUUGUCAGCUAAGUGGCGCACGGGUGAGUAAUGUAUAGAUAACCUGCCCUUAAGAAAGGAAUAACAGUUGGAAACGACUGCUAAUGCCCUAUAUGCCUUUAAUACAUAAGUAUGCAAGGGAAACGCUUUAGUGCUAGAGGAUGGGUCUGUAUGGUAUCAGCUUGUUGGUGAGGUAAUGGCUCACCAAGGCUAUGGCGCCUAACUGGUUUGAGAGGAUGAUCAGUCACACUGGAACUGAGACACGGUCCAGACUCCUACGGGAGGCAGCAGUGGGGAAUAUUGCACAAUGGACGAAAGUCUGAUGCAGCAACGCCGCGUGGAGGAUGACACAUUUCGGUGCGUAAACUCCUUUUAUAUAGGAAGAUAAUGACGGUACUCACAGAAGAAGCACCGGCUAACUACGUGCCAGCAGCCGCGGUAACAC